rnacentral:rRNA from 1 species
GAAACUAAAUAAUUUGACGGCAUUUGAAUUCAUAAAGGAGUUUGUGAUUUAAUCGUCAAUACACGCUUUAUCUUACUUAUAAUAAUUUGUAUAUCUCCGUUAAAGAUCCUAUUCAAAAAUAAUAAAAAAUUUCAUAAAAAUAUAACAUUAGCAAAUCAGGUCAAGAUGCAAUUUUAUAAGAUAUUAUGAACUACAAUCAAAAUACAGAAAAUGAAUUAAUUCCUGAAAAAAAUUAUGAAAAUGAAUUUAUAAAUAAAGUAAAAUUAAAAUGUUUACUUGAAAAAAUCAAAUGUGUACACAUCG